rnacentral:rRNA from 1 species
GACGAACGCUGGCGGCGUGCUUAACACAUGCAAGUCGAACGGAAAGGCCCCUUCGGGGGUACUCGAGUGGCGAACGGGUGAGUAACACGUGCGUAACCUGCCCUUGACUUCGGGAUAACUUCCGGAAACUGGGGCUAAUACCGGAUAGGAAUCCUUGCCUCAUGGAGGGUGUUGGAAAGCUUCGGCGGUUUUGGAUGGACUUGCGGCUUUUCAGCUUGUUGGUGGGGUAGUGGCUUACCAAGGCUUUGACGGGUAGCCGGCCUGGGAGGGCGACCGGCCACAUUGGGACUGGGAUACGGCCCAGACUCCUACGGGAGGCAGCAGUGGGGAAUAUUGCACAAUGGGCGGGAGCCUGAUGCAGCAACGCCGCGGGCGGGAUGGCGGCCUUCGGGUUGUAAACCGCUUUCAGCAGGGGCGAAGCUUGUGGUGACGGUACCUGCAGAAGAAGCACCGGCUAACUACGUG